rnacentral:rRNA from 1 species
GAUUAGAUACCCUGGUAGUCCACGCUGUAAACGAUGAUCACUCGCUGUUUGCGAUACACAGUAAGCGGCUGAGCGAAAGCAUUAAGUGAUCCACCUGGGGAGUACGAUCGCAAGGUUGAAACUCAAAGGAAUUGACGGGGGCCCGCACAAGCGGAGGAACAUGUGGUUUAAUUCGAUGAUACGCGAGGAACCUUACCUGGGCUUAAAUGUAGAAUGCAUAGAUUGGAAACAGUCUUUUCCUUCGGGACUUUUUACAAGGUGCUGCAUGGUUGUCGUCAGCUCGUGCCGUGAGGUGUCGGGUUAAGUCCCAUAACGAGCGCAACCCUUACCGUUAGUUGCCAUCAGGUGAUGCUGGGGACUCUAGCGGGACUGCCACCGUAAGGUGAGAGGAAGGUGGGGAUGACGUCAAAUCAGCACGGCCCUUAUGUCCAGGGCUGCACACGUGUUACAAUGGUCGGUACAAAGGGCAGCUACACUGCGAAGUGAUGCUAAUCCCAAAAGCCGAUCCCAGUUCGGAUUGGAGUCUGCAACCCGACUCCAUGAAGUUGGAUUCGCUAGUAAUCGCGCAUCAGCCAUGGCGCGGUGAAUACGUUCCCGGGCCUUGUACACACCGCCCGUCAAACCAUGGAAGCUGGGGGUGCCUGAAGUCUGUGACCGCAAGGAGCGGCCUAGG